ensembl:lncRNA
CUAAUUUAUUGAUGCAGAUGGUCAAUGAAGAGACAAGGAAAUGCACUGUUGGACCUGCUAUUCAAAACCAUGGAAGAACUGAUUGAAGAUGUGAAGGCUAAGGGUACCCUUGGCUGCAGGAACUGAGACUAUGGAAUUGAAGAUUGUGAGAGAAGUGAGCAAGAUAAACAGCAGAGUUCCUUCCCUGGACUUCUGAAGAGCAAAUUUAGGUCUGUUCAGGGCGGCUUUCAUGGGAAACUGUUCAGCAGGGCAAAAGGCCUCAGGAUAGCUGGCUGAUCUUCAAGGACAACCUCCCCAGAACACAAGAACAGUGCACAAUGUUCAGAUUUGAGCAAGCAUGGCAGAAGGCCAACGUGGAUGAACAUGGAGCUCCUGCCUAAGCUCAAACGCAGAGCAUCUCAAUUGUUACCACGCAGCAACUCAUGAGAUGUUGGAUCUUUACAGUCACUGUCAACAGAGCUUUUAUUUCUGUCUUCCAAGAGCACGAGUCUCUGCCACUGGAAAUUCGAAGGAAAUGAAAAAAAAAAACAGCAUGAGCUGCAACACAUCAUAGGUAGCUCAGAAAAGAGUUUCAGUGUGGAACGUUCAGAACGUCGCACGUUUCUUUAUGAGAUCGAAGAACCCUCUGUUAUUGAAUCUCUAUUCUCCAGGCCAAAACCACCAAGCAUGAAUGGUAAAUGCUGUGCUCUUGGUCAUCUGACACUGCACUGAUGCAAUGCAGUCUAUCUCAGACACAACAGAAGGACAGAAGGGAAUAAAAGUGCACUGAAAUGCAAAGAGGAAUGGAGAAAAGUUUCCAGGAUCUAUCUCACUUCUCCUCCCUGAAACCUUUUCAUUGAAAUAUGUUGUGUAGCAUCAGUAAAAUAAAGUAAAAUUCUGGUGAGUUACAUAUGUAUGUUUUGUACCAGUUUAAUAUUAGCCACAAACACUGGCUUUUACAGAACAAUUGGUUACUGAUUCAGGAGGG